rnacentral:rRNA from 1 species
UACGGAGGGUGCAAGCGUUGUUCGGAAUUAUUGGGCGUAAAGGGCAAGUAGGUGGUCUUAUAAGUCUACUGUGAAAUCCCCAGGCUUAACUUGGGAAGUGCGGUAGAUACUGUGAGACUAGAGUAUCGGAGGGGUGCGUGGAAUUCCUGGUGUAGCGGUGAAAUGCGUAGAUAUCGGAAGGAACGCCGGUGGCGAAAGCGGCGCACUGGAUCUCCACUGACGCUGAGGCGCGAAAGCCAGGGGAGCAAACGGG